AGAGCAGCCUCCGGAACCGGGGCGGGCUGGGGGCUCCCUGGGGAGCUGAGAAUGAGAUUCUUCAGGUCGAUUCUAAAUUACACAGAAGGUGGUUGGACUCCGCGGGCCUCGGAACCACGGGGAGCCACCGUCCCAGAGGUCCCAGCAGAAUGGGGCCUGCAGUUUCUUCUCGGAAGGCCCAGCUGCCUCGAGACCGCAAGGACACUUGGCUGUGAGCAGGACUCCGGGCUCCCACCCUCCAGCGAUGAGCACCCAGAGUAGCCCAGCACGUGGAGGUCAGGGCAGCCGGGAGGCACCUGCUGCUGGCAGAGGAAAGGGGGAUCCCUCGAUGGGCCCCAUGCUCCUCCUGGCCCGGCGGCCGCUGGAGCUGGUGGGCAAAGCCCAGACCUCCAUCUGGAGGCCCAGGCGGGUAGCAAGCAGGUGGUGACAGUAGCCCUGACGUCACAGCAUGGAGCAGGAUCACAUGAACAGCAAAUCCUGGCCCACGGUAGGCACACGCAGGGGUCAGGACGUUGGCCUGCGCCCUUCCCUGGGGGAUGGUGGCUCAGGACCCCAGGCUGGCCUCCCUGCUGGCACCAGAACCCAGGGCCCCCUGGGCACAGGCCUGGGAAGGCUGAAAGAAGGUGUGGCCCAGCACAGUCCAGCAUGGAGAGCCUCAGUGCCUGCCCCCUGGUAGGGUCCCCAGCCCCUACUCCCACACCUUUGCUGGGCAGCAGGUCCCCCCACAGGGGCUCAAAGGCUGACGGCCUUCCCUGAGGGUGCAAGGCUGGUUUCUGCAGAGUCCAGGGUGGGUGCUGGUGGCUUUGGGCAGUGUCUGGCGGCCCUGCGGAUGCCCUGUGGAUACAGCCCAGUGGGCAGCACAGAGCCAGACCCUGCCCUGCCCUGCCCUGCCCUGCCUUGCCCUGCCCUGCCCCGCCCCACCCUGCCCUGCCAUCCCCAGGGUAAGGUCCCACAAGCCAGAUCCUCCCUGCGUGUAGUCACCAGUCAAGGACUGCUCCCCAGCAAUUCCUCCUCGCUAGCGCCACCCUCCCCGUGCUUACACAGCUGCAGCCCCCCGCCGCAAUCCUUCCGGGCCCAGCCUGCCCCAGGACACACUCCCUUAGGAAGGUCUUUGCUACUGAACGGCUCGUUGGCCCUCACGGACCCUCAGGUGCGUGUCCGACAGCCCCUCUGGAGACUCACAGCCCGGCCUCCGUGCCUGGCUCAGAGCCGGAAGAGCUCCGCAGCCUCCGUCAGUCACACCGAGCCCAGCCUGGGGAAGGCCCCAGAAGCAGGAGUGUGCAGCCUCACAGACCGCACCCGGCCCUCCGCUCGGGGCUCUCUGGCCUGCGUGCUCAGAGCAGGAGGAGGUGGCCCAGGCUGUAGCCCCUGCUCAGGAGGCCGUGGAGAACCAGCUGGAGUCCCCACCACGCCCUGAGCGAGGGGGCGGCAGAAGGGAGGCGGCUCUGUCUCCGUGACAUCAGGAGGGCCCGGGGGGCGGAGCAGGAAGACGAGUGACCACGACGCCAGGUAUGGCGCUGAGCACCACGUGCAGGCCUAGCCGGUGACCCUCACAAGCCCUGCAUAAGGUCAGGGUCACGCUCCCAUUUUACAGAUGGGGAAGCCCAGGCACCCGGACCACGCAGGGGGCCUUGUGCAGGACAGGGGUCAUGUCUGGUCCCGUCCAGGUCACCUUACAGGUGAGACGCCCGGGCCCGCAGGUUGAGGCCGGCCAGCCCCCUCCCAACAGACCCCCUUGGUGGCUCUGAGUGAGGGCUGGUCCAGGGACAGGGCCUGAGGGGCACCACUGGGACCCAGCUGGAGGGUGUUCAGGAGCCAUGAGGCUGCAGUCAGGCUGGCCCUGGGAUGCCAGAGGGGAUGCAGCCCCCACCGGGCCCCUCCUGUGGCCACAGCACAGCCCAGCCUGCCCCAGACAGGCUGCCAAGGCCUGGUUCAGGCCAGGGUGCCGGGCUGAGGUCGUGCCCACAUUGCCACCCCUCUGCUCUGUGUGCUCAACUCAAACCCGCCCGGCCCUGCAUGCAAACUUCCAGCUGAGACCCUCUGAGGCCCCUGGCGCUGAAGGAUCAGGGUGCCCCCUGUGUAUGAUUUGAAAUAACAACAGCACUAAGCCAUCGAAUGGGUGAAAGGUCAGAGUUCUGUUCUUUCCCACAGAGACAGCUUGGAUGCCUUUUUUGAAAUAACAAAUAUCAAAUCCUUUCUAAAAUUGUCACACACGGCCCCGCCUGGUUGGUGCCCAAGGACGUGCCCGGCCCACCCCGGCACCCUGCAGUUCCUCCCACCACCGUCUGGCCUGCUGAGCCUGCUGUCCUCGGCCCCCGGGAAGGAGCUCCCUUCCGCUCAGAGGGCUUCAGACCAGCCCGGUCUCCAUCACACCCUCCACGCCGCCUCCUCCCAAGGCAGGCUCUGCCCCUGGACUGUAGAGAAGGCUCCAAAAGGACCGACCCCCCAGGACUGGAGACUCAGGAGAGGGAGCGCUUCCCUGAGUGCCAGUGGACUGGACCCUACCCUGAGCCAGGCCUAGACCAGGGGUCCACCCUGUGUGGCCGGGGAGCAAGAAAGCCAGUGGGGCCAUCGCCUUGGUGCAGGUUCCGUGGGAAAGGGUCCUUUUUCCAACGGGGCGGGAAGAGGUGCCAGGCAGAUGGAAGUCUCGGUUUCCCCAAAGGAGCCAUCGGCCUGUGGCUGGAGGUCCUGCUUCCUUCCCCACCCCAGCUGGCCCUGGAGGUGGAUGGCAGGCCCACCGCAAGCCCUGAGAAGCUGGGCGGCCUGGGUCAGUCCAGAACUCCCCUGACCCGCCUUUCCUGUUGCACGUGGGGACGCCAAAGCCAGGGAGGCUCAGCCCUGUGAGGCCCUGGGUGCUGGACAGAAAGACUCUUGCUCCUCCAGCCACCUCAGUGCUCUCAGCUGGCCAGGGCCAUGUGUCACCCACUGAGCUGGGGAGCCCUUAGGUAGAGACACGGCAGGGUCCACGCAGGUGACACCUGGGUGACAAUUUGAAAAAGGAGGCCUCAGGUAACUGUGGCCUGUGGACCGUGGCUGUGCCCAGCACUCAGCCAUUUGCCUGAUGAAAGACAGUCAGGGAGAGUGCCAGCUGACCGGGUGGGGGCGUGAGCUGAGCAGGGGAGGAGGGGCCCCAUGUGAUGCUCCGUGGGGGGAGGGACCCUCGGCAGAGGGCGUUUGACUCGAGGAGGGGGCGCCAGGCCCCGGCUCAGCUCACCACCCGGCCCAUGUCCAGCAUCCCCCCAAAGCCAGCCUCUGCCCGGGCCGAGGCUGCCCUCCCAGGGGUGGGGAAGCCUUGGCCCCACCUGCUGCCCAGUCUCCCCAGGCUGCUCUCACCACAGUGCCCCAGAUUUUGCUUCUGGAAAUACACUGGCAAUUAAAUCAAAAAGCCCUUAGAGCCGCCCAGAGAGGAAAGGUGAGCGCUUACGCAACAGCUCAUUACCGCGGCUCCCGAGGGCCCAGGAAGAUGCCCGUCCACCAAGGCCACCUGCCCAGGACUCUGCCUGGGGGCAGGAGGAGGGCAGGACACCAGCUGCCUCUGACCUGCAGCCCCUCACGUCCUCACAAGGGAGGAUAUCCCCCUCCCAGGGCCAGCCACGGUUCAACGCGGUGCAUGAGCACAAGGUGCUGGGUGGGGCCAGGGGACACCUGUCUCAGGCUCAAGGCUAAGGAAGGGAGGAACGCUACUGAGCAGAGCUGUGCGGC